rnacentral:rRNA from 1 species
ACGCUGGCGGCGUGCCUAAUACAUGCAAGUAGAACGCUGAAGCUUGGUGCUUGCACCGAGCGGAUGAGUUACGAACGGGUGAGUAACGCGUAGGUAACCUGCCUCUUAGCGGGGGAUAACUAUUGGAAACGAUAGCUAAUACCGCAUAAAAGUCGACAUCGCAUGAUGUUGACUUGAAAGGUGCAAUUGCAUCACUAAGAGAUGGACCUGCGUUGUAUUAGCUAGUUGGUGAGGUAACGGCUCACCAAGGCGACGAUACAUAGCCGACCUGAGAGGGUGAUCGGCCACACUGGGACUGAGACACGGCCCAGACUCCUACGGGAGGCAGCAGUAGGGAAUCUUCGGCAAUGGGGGCAACCCUGACCGAGCAACGCCGCGUGAGUGAAGAAGGUUUUCGGAUCGUAAAGCUCUGUUGUAAGAGAAGAACGAGUGUGAGAGUGGAAAGUUCACACUGUGACGGUAACUUACCAGAAAGGGACGGCUAACUACGUGCCAGCAGCCGCGGUAAUACGUAGGUCCCGAGCGUUAUCCGGAUUUAUUGGGCGUAAAGCGAGCGCAGGCGGUUAGAUAAGUCUGAAGUUAAAGGCUGUGGCUUAACCAUAGUACGCUUUGGAAACUGUUUAACUUGAGUGCAGAAGGGGAGAGUGGAAUUCCAUGUGUAGCGGUGAAAUGCGUAGAUAUAUGGAGGAACACCGGUGGCGAAAGCGGCUCUCUGGUCUGUAACUGACGCUGAGGCUCGAAAGCGUGGGGAGCAAACAGGAUUAGAUACCCUGGUAGUCCACGCCGUAAACGAUGAGUGCUAGGUGUUGGGUCCUUUCCGGGACUCAGUGCCGCAGCUAACGCAUUAAGCACUCCGCCUGGGGAGUACGACCGCAAGGUUGAAACUCAAAGGAAUUGACGGGGGCCCGCAC